rnacentral:rRNA from 1 species
UUUUUGGAGAGUUUGAUCUUGGCUCAGGACGAACGCUGGCGGCGUGCCUAAUACAUGCAAGUCGAGCGCUGGAAGCUAAUUUCAUCCCUUCGGGAUGAAAUUAGUGGAAAGAGCGGCGGACGGGUGAGUAACACGUGGGCAACCUACCUAUAAGACUGGGAUAACUCGCGGAAACGUGAGCUAAUACCGGAUAAUACUUUUUAUUGCAUAAUAAGAAGUUUGAAAGGCGGCGUAAGCUGUCACUUAUAGAUGGGCCCGCGGCGCAUUAGCUAGUUGGUGAGGUAAAGGCUCACCAAGGCAACGAUGCGUAGCCGACCUGAGAGGGUGAUCGGCCACAC